GAUAUACAUGGCUGCUGCAAAUGUGGUACCAAGAUAAAAGCAGAGGCCAACAGCCCCACCAAACUCUGGGCCCAGGGCCCGGGAAAUCAUAAAGUAUGAGCCUCCAGCUAAAAGACAAAAUAGAAUGUAAGCAGGAUAAAGAAAGUACACCGGUAAGAAGAAUGUAAACAAAGUCAUAAAUAAGAAGAAUAAAUGCUUCAAGCUUUUGAAAACUCUCAAUGUUUUGAUAAAAAAUAUAUUUGCUAACGGGAAAUAAAGGAUAAAACCUUUCUAAUAUACUGCAUAGCUAAUGCUCCACACCAACUAGUUCAACUUGUCAGUAUUACUUAGAUAAAUAUCAAGGAAUAUUUACUACAGGCAUGAGAUAGCCCCAUAAUAUAUAUCCUAACUAAAAGAAGAUAGGAAUGUGAUACAAAUUAAGACUUCUAGCUUAGAACAUGAUGAGAUUUUUUUCCUUUUUAUUUUAAUUGAAGUAUGGUUGACUUUAAUAAAUGGUAUAGUACAACAUCAUAGUGGUUUGACAAUUCUGUACAUUAAGCACACCAUAGUAAGUGCAGUUACCAUCUGUCACCAUACAAUGUUACUGCAAUAUUAUUGAGUGUAUUCCCUAUGCUGUAUUUUUCAUCCCCAUGACUUAUUUAUUUUAUAACCGGAAGUUUGUAACUCUUAUUCCCUCCCUCUCACUUAUUUUGCUCAUCCCUCUACUCUUCUUUUCCUGGACAACCACUAGUUUGUUCUUUGUAUUUAUGAGUCUCUGUUUUUGUUUGUCUGUUUAUUUAUUUAUUUGGAUUCCACAUAUAAGUAAAAUCAUAUGGCAUCUGUCUUUCUUGGACUUAUUUCAUUUGCAUGAGUGGAUCUCUAGGUUCACCUGUGUUGUUGCAAAUGGCAAGAUUUCAUUCUUUUUGAUGGAUGAGUAAUAUUCUAUUUUGUGUGUAUGUGUCCACAACUUCUGUAUUCAUUCAUCUAUUGAUGAACACUUAGGUUGCUUCCAUAUCUUGGUUAUUGUAAAUAAUACAGCACUAUACAUAAGGGCACCUAUAUCUUUUUGAUCUAGUGUUUUCAUUUUCUUUGGGUAAAUACCCAGAAACGAAAUUACUGGAUUAUAUGGUAUUUCUACUUCCAAUUUUUUGAAGAACUUCCAUACUGUUUUCCAAAGUGGCUGGAUCAGAUUCUAUUCCCACCAACAGUGAGUGAGGUUCCCCUAGUUUAGGACAUAAAGAGACUUAAAGAGUGUAUUCUAAAGUCAAAGAGUGUGAAUGCCUAUGACCAACAGACUAAAUAGUACUCUGUUCCUUGGAAGUUUGCACCUCUGGCUUCACAGCAUAAACAUACAGUAAUUGUUGACAAUCCCUGAAAUGCAAUCUUAGCCAACUGACCUGGCACCACUCCAUUAGUGGCAAUGGCACUCAUGGAGAUAGCAGUCAACAUUGUCUGUAAAGGAAGUGAAAGGAGAAGACUGUUACUGUUAUAAAGAUGACAUUUCUGUACUAUCUUCCCAUCUGUGGAAUUCAGAGCACUGUUUGAAUAAUUAACUCUACAUACUUUAUGGACGGAGUUGGAUGUUAUACCUAAUAGCAUGGAAAUAUGAUGUGGUUCAACUCAUUGCACUAGUCAAAUUACUAUCAUCUUGAGUAUUCUGUUAAAAUGGUUCUAUGUCGGGGCGCCUGGGUGGCGCAGUCGGUUAAGCGUCCGACUUCAGCCAGGUCAUGAUCUCGCGGUCCGUGAGUUCGAGCCCCGCGUCAGGCUCUGGGCUGAUGGCUCAGAGCCUGGAGCCUGUUUCCGAUUCUGUGUCUCCCUCUCUCUCUGCCCCUCCCCCGUUCAUGCUCUGUCUCUCUCUGUCCCAAAAAUAAAUAAACGUUGAAAAAAAAAAAUUAAAAAAAAAAAAUGGUUCUAUGUCAUAAUCAGUAGGUUAGGGGCUAGUAGAAACCCCUGAUCUCACCCUGGUCUCCUAGUUAACUUGGAAAACAGACUGGAAACUGACUAAGGACUAGAUAUUACAAGAACAAUAUUCAGUAAGGAAGGGAACCACUGAAGACUUCUGAACUAAUAAAAACUAUAUUUUGAAAACAUUGCCUGGGAGCAACAGAGUAUAGAAUGGACUGCAGACAGGGAGCAGAUGAAGACAGAGUGACUUGUUAAUAGGCUAUUACAGUUCAGUGAAAAAACAGGAAUAUAAAGGAAGGGUUGUAGGUAAGAGAUUUCAGAGGGAGACUUGAUUGACACUGGUAGCUGAUUAGAUGUGAGAGGUAACCAAGGAGCCAAACAUGACCUUGAAGUUUUAAGACUAAGAAAACAAAAAGGGGGGGGGGGGGGGGAAGGUAGUACUGUUAAUUUUAAUUUAUUAAUGAUAGGAACUAUCUCUGCUUAUCCUGCUUUGUAUGUACUCAGUGAGCCUAAUGCACAAGGAGGGUAUAAUAAUGAUAGUAAUGAAAGAGGUCAGCAGGUAACAGAACAAAAAAAUACAUUUUUUAUAAUAAUCAACUUAUAAUGCAUAAGAGGAGUUUAAAUUCAAGGAAGAUCAGAAUGUUCUCAGUACAGUGGGGAGAGGACCUGGAAAACACACCUGAAUUUCUAGGGAAGGGAGAACAGAUGAGACUUGAAAACAAAACAAACGCCCCUCACCCUAAACAACAAUCCAUUUUGUUUCUCCAUACUAUACUGGAGUAGUGCGGCAUCAUUUUCUAUCACAACUUUGGUGCCAUCAAUACAAGUGGUUUGUAUUCUGAAUUCUUUGAAGUCAAGGACUACAUCUCCUACUCCCUCCAGAAAGAAGUCUUCCUUUGUAAUUUCUAGUACAUCAUAUUAUAGAUCUAAGCAGUGAAGAGUGGGCCCUAAAUAACUGAAAAUCCUUCAGAUUUUAAUAUCAAAAUAAUCUCUCCUUUUGAGAUCAUGAGUCUUCCCCUAUUAGCCUUUGUUUUAUUCUCAAACAGGUCAAGUGCAUAUAAUCUUGAGCUCUUGCAACGUUCCAGGUGAUUUCUAAGAGCCAACUCAGGACUUACACAGCAGCAGCAGAUAAGGACGAUUGCGAAGGCCUGAAGAACGCCUGCCGUGCCCACAACCCAUGUAAGGCGUAGAAACAAGAUCACUCCAAAAAUAUUUUGUAGACAGGGGAGGUAGACACCCAUGAAAGUACCCAUUUGAGGGGUCUGGAAAGAAAGUUGACAAAAGAAAAAUUAUAUAGUCAUCUAGAAGCCAUGCUUUUAUCCCUUUACUUGUGUAUAAAAACUUGCUCCCAACUACCAUAUUAAUUAUUAGGCAGAGAUAAUCAGAAUAUCCUAGAAGAGGCACAUAUAAAAUCUCCAUCUAAUAAAUGUCAAUCACCAUACUUUUUAAUAGUCCUAGAACUAUACAUUUUUACUUUACACAGGUCCUCAUAUGUUUUUACAUAAGUAUUUGACCACAAUCCCCCCCUUUUAAAAUGUUCUGUAGUUUGAAGCUAUCAGCUUUCCCUUUUCAUCUAAACUGAAUAAUGAAUUGAUGCAAUUCCUUUCGAAUGUGGUAUAAAUCUUUCAUAGUAGCUGGUAAAUACAGUUGGUAAAAUGAAGAUCUGAGGGUCAUUUAAUUCCUGAACAACCAGGAAGCUACCUUGUUCCGUAUUUUCAUUUUGAGAAAAACUGAAAUGUAGUCUUUGAAAAACCCAACCACUUCACCACAGAGAUGGCAUCAGCAGGUGGGCGUGGACACUCCUCUUCUGAAGUGCUAUUUCCUCUCCCUGCAACGGUCUUCUCCCAACCAGGCUCACUGUCUCACAUUGAUUAGGUCUCUGCUCAAAUAUCACCGUCAGAAGGGCUUUCCCUGACUAACCUCUCUCCAACAGCAACCCCUUCUGCCCUGGCUUUCUUGCUGGCCAGUUGCAGUCUCCUUAGCCUGCCUUAAAAAAAAUUAAUUACUGAAGUAUAGUUGACACACAAUGUUACACUGGUUCAGGCGUACAACAUAGUGAUCUGACAAGUCUCUGCCUAUGAUAUGCCACAAGUGUAGCUACUAGCUGUCCCUGCUUAUAUUUUUGUUAGAGCAUUUAUCAACAUCUAAUAUACAGUUUAACAACUAUCUCUUCAUACCAGAAUUCAGACUGCAUGAGAGCAGGACGUUGUAGGUUCUCUUUUUGCUAUGACCCUGGUGCCCAGAACAGUGCCUGGCUUAAAGCAAGCAUUCAAUAGUUACGGAGCACAGAGUGAUGCCCUGGAUAGUUUCUCCUUUCUUAUAUAUGGGACUCUUUUUAUUUAUCAUUGUUAUCCUAAGGCCUCACCUUGGUGGGCUUCUUUUUCCCCUCAGUGAUGUUCUCUGCCUCUUCAUGUUCCUUCGCUCCUUGUGUCAGAUUAGUAUAAUUGGCCAUACGGUUGAGGAGAGAAGAUACCUUUGGUCUUGUGUCCAUUUCUUCCUAUAAAGUCGUAAACGUGGAAGAAAUGAGUAAUGAAGAACACUGGAAGCAUAAGCAUCAAAAUGGCCCAUGUAUCAGAAAAUUGCAAAUUAAAUAAGAAAAUAUUUCACAGAUAAAUAUUUUAAGACAAUUCAUCAGUGAGGCUUUCUUUUCCUCCCAAGGUAAAAUAUCACUUAAUCAGGGCUACAUGAAUCCUUAUAAGAUUCUUAAGUGAAAAGCUUUAGGAUUCUUUCUAAUAGCUUAACUUUACAGUAAAAACAAAAUCACACUGGCCCCUACAGACAGCUGUAACCUUGUAAAAAAUGUUGGUAAUAUUAUCUUUAACUACAGUGCCCCUUUCUUUAGGCUACCAACAUUCUAACAAAAUUUAGGGCUAUUAUUUAUUGCAGCACAUACGGAUAGCUCAUUAAAAAACUUUUGUGACUGAGGGGCACCUGGGUGGCUCAGUGAGUUAAGGGUCCGACUCUUGAUUUCAGCUCAGGUCAUAAUCUCGUGGUUUGUGAGAUGGAGCCCUACAUCGAACCUGCUUGAGAUUCUCUCUCCCUCUCUCUCUGCCCCUCCCUGUCUCGUGCACACAGCUGUGUUCUCUCUCAAAAAUAAACAAACAUUAAAAGAAAAAAACCUUUUGUGACUGAAGUAAAUAUUCACCACAGAUCUUUUCUUCAAGUAAGCUGAAAGAAAAUAUCAUUUAAAAGAUAAGUACGCUGAGAGAACUAACAUUCACAUCACUGUCCAAAGCCAGAAACAAAGGCAGUGCGGGACUAAAGUAGGUUCCUUUCAAGAACCUGCCUGCAGAUGCCGUCAGAGUCCGUAGGGUCUCAGGUUAAGACCUACAAGGUCCUCUUAUUCUAGCAGCCUACUUCCUACACUGAUUUUUGAUUUAGUAGUUCUAAGGUAAGUGAUAGUCCUCCCAAACACAGAUUGAAAAACUCACUAUUUUACACUUUGUAGAUAAUGCAAAUAUUCACAUCCUAGCUGAAUUAGAUAGCAAGGUCCCCCAUAUUGAGGAAGAAUGUCAACAUUCUUCCUCAAUACUCAGAAAUUUGAUUUAAUGGUACUUAUUAGUGAUCAUUAGAUUACAUAAAUAAAUCAACUAUAAUGACAAGUUAUCAUAAGUAUUAUACUUUAACAAUUAAUUCUUAAAAGUAUCCAGGCUGUACUGUUUUAAAACUAAAUGGGAUAGAAAACAGCGAUCUUGAAAUCUCUAUUCCUGAAAUCUCUGCCCUAGUCUUCUCCCAAAUAUUACCUCAAAGAGUGCCAGGUUUUUAUCAAAAUAUUCAUCUCCUUCUUCAUAAUUGGAAUUAUUGAGAUAAGCAUUUCGAGCUUUCUUAUUAUGCCCAUCAUCUGGAAAAAAAAAAAAAAGUAAACCAAGUCAGUUUCUCAGUGGUAUUAAAGAAGUAUCAGCACCAAAUAACUUCAUGUUGCCUCUGUAUUAACAGAACCCAUUUUCAUAUUCAAACUACUUUAUUUUUUUAUUUUGAGAGACAGCGUAAGUAGAGCAGGGAAGGAGCAGGGGUGAGGGUGGGGGUGGGACAAAGGAUAUGAAGAGGGCUCUGUGCUGACAGCGGAGAGCCCAGUGCAGGGCUUAAACUCACAAACUGUGAGAUCAUGACCUAAGCCAAAGUGAGAUGCUCAACUGACUGAGCCACCCAAGCACCCCUCAUAUUCAAACUUUAAUCUGAGAGUGGGAGAACUCAAUUAGCGUUGCUUGGAGCAUGUGGCUCCCUCUAGAAAAGGAGCAAAAAUAAAUUUCUAAGAGGUAAACAUAGGUCAUUGCUUUUCUUAAUACAAAGGCCUCUGGACACACUAUUCUUUUAGGAUUCUAACCUACAGAGACCCUACACUUAAAGUCACCCAAAUCUAGAAUAAAAUUUUUUUAAAAAGUACUUAUUGAGUCCUUAGUAUAUAAUACCUUUAUACACUAUUGCUGUUGAACAAUGGCAGCAAAAGCCCUCUACUUACAGAUGUCCAACCUUUUAUAAAUGAUAUUAGGUAAAAAAACAAAAAAACAAAACAAAAAAAUGACAUUAGGUCUUGUAACCAAGAAUUAUUUUUGUACAAACUCCUGCCACAUAUUUUUUUUUCAUCCCACAAGCAUUUGGUGAACCAGCUAUAAGAAAAAAAAAAGAGAGAGAUAAAGAGACUGGGUUCCCUAACACAGGAAAGUUUGUGUUGUAUCCUUAGCUUUGGUUCUGUAUUGUGUAAGAGUUAUAUAAUUAUAAUCACCUUGUAGGAGAGAGAGAAAAUAAAAAAAUAUAUGUCAUUAAGAACUAAGACUUUAAAUAUUGAUAAAAUAGACACUAAUAUAAAAUUUAAAGAAAUUAAUUUAAAGUCCUAUAACCUUAAAUGUAAGUUUGGGAAACAGUCAACAAGCUAUGAAAAUAACUGGAUCAUGUCAAAGGACAGAAAAGCCAACGUGAUGGGAUCCCUAAUGGCUACAAAUGGGAUAAUAUGAGCACUAAAAAUAAAUAAUGCAAUGAAUUGAAAAGUAAGUAUGUGAAAUAUCCAAUAUAUUAAAAAAAAAAAACAACUAGUCACCUUUGCAAGUUACUAAGAAAACAACAUAUGUGAAAAACAAUAAAUGGAAAGAAUCAAGCAAUUAUCUUGCCUUUCCUGUACCAACUAUAUUUCUAGGUGAUGAAAAAGUUAAAGAAAAUUUCUUCAUUAUAGAAACGUUCUAGCUAAUCAAUGUGGAAUUUAAAAAACAAAACAAACAAGCAUAGGGAAAAAAGAGACAGACAAACCAAGAAACAGACUCUUAACUACAGAGAAUUGGUGGUUACCACAGGGGAGUUGGGUAGGGGGAUGGGUGAAAACAGAUGAAGGGGAUUAAGAGUACACUCAUCAUGAGGUGCCUCAGUGGCUCAGUCCAUUAAGGGUCCAACUCUUGAUCUCAGCUCAGGUCAUGAUCUCAUGGUUUGUGAGAUCAAGCCCUGCACUGGGCUCUGCGUUGACGGAGUCUUUCUCUCUCUCUCUCAAAAUAAAUAAACAAACUUAACAAUUAAAAAAAAAAAAGUACACUCAUCAUGAUGAGAAUUGAGUAAUGCACAGAAUUGCUGAAUCACUAUACUGAUUCACCUGAAUCUAAUAUAACACUGUAUGUUAACUGAAAUUUAAAUUAAAAAAAUUUUUAAAUGCAGAUGGAUUAGGAAAAAAAACCACCAAUUUUCAACCCCUAAUGAAAUAAUGGAUCUAGGCAAUCAUCAUCAAUGGUUGCUAAAACCAUUAGAUGAAAGGCUAAGACAUAACUUUAUAAUGGAUGGAUCAGGGUGAUCUGGAACUCAAUGAUCAAUGUUAACAUUGCUUGUUAAAAGUAGACGACACAGGGGCGCCUGGGUGGCGCAGUUGGUUAAGCGUCCGACUUCAGCCAGGUCACUAUCUCACGGUCUGUGAGUUCGAGCCCCGCAUCAGGCUCUGGGCUGAUGGCUCAGAGCCUGGAGCCUGUUUCCGAUUCUGUGUCUCCCUCUCUCUCUGCCCCUCCCCCGUUCAUGCUCUGUCUCUCUCUGUCCCAAAAAUAAAUAAAAACGUUGAAAAAAAAAAUUUUAAAAGUAGACGACACAAACCCCUACUGUAAUACAAUAAAAAGUACCCUGUGCAACCUAUGAUGUAUUCUUACCAAAAAAAUGGAAGUUGAAUCUAAUCAAGCUUCUUAAAUCUAUCAGUUCACAAAAACAAAACAAACAAAACAAACAAAACAAAGCAGAGGAGGAACACGCUAAACAUCAAAGAUGAGGCAAUCACCAAAUUCAGAAUGUGAGAAAUUCUACAUGACAAAUAAUCUGACUUAUUCAAUAAAUAAAUGGCAUAAACUAAGAAAGCAGAAUUCAUAAUUUGAGACUUAAAAUGACAUACCAACCAAGUACAAGGUGUGAAACUUGUUAGAAUCCUGACUCUAAUCAAAUGUAGAAAACAAAAACAAAAACAACAAAAAACCCCCCAAAACCCCACCUUUGAAACAGAUAAAUUUAAACUUUUUUUUUUAAAGUACAUAAAAUCAUGUGAUGUCUGGAAUUUUAAGAUAUUCCAGGAAAAAAUUCAGUGGGGAUUGAAAACAGAUUCUCAACAUUGUUGAAACUGAGUGAUGGCUUCAUGGAGGUUCACUAUCCUAUUCUAUUUACUUUUCUGUAUCGUUGGAAAUUUCCACAAUAAAAAGUUACUAAAAAAACAACAACAAAACAAAACAGGAAAAUGAUAGCAUGGAGCCUGCUUCGGAUUCUCUGUCUCCCUCUCUCUCCAUUCCUUCUCUGUUAUGCACGCGGUUUUUUUCUCUCAAAAUAAACAUGAAGGAAAAAAAAAAAAAGAAAAUGUAAUUCUUUUCCUCUAAUGGUUCCGGAAAAUUCUAAACAGAGAAUGACACAGCUUAAAAUUAUCACCGCUUUUAAGUAAUCCAUUUAUUCAGUUAAUUCAGUAAGCAUUUAUUAGGUUUUUAAAAAAAUAUUUAUUUUGGGAGAGAGAUAGUGUGCAUGAGUGGGGAAGGGGCAGACAGAGAGGAAGAGAAUCCCAAGCAGGUUUUGCGCUGAGGGCAUAGCCCGAUGUGGGGUUCGAACUCAUGAAGCCUGAGAUCAUGACCUGAGCCGAAAUCAAGAGUUGGACGUUCAACCGACUUGUACCACCCAGGCACCCCACAUUUAUUAAGUUCUUAUGAUGUGCUUGGGCACUGUUCUAGGUCCUGGUGAUACAGCAAUAGACAGAGCAGUUAAAGAUGUUGCUUUCAUUGUGUGUAUAUGAAGUCACAGAAGACAGUUAAAAACAUAUACACACAUACAUAAAACUGAUUUAUAGUGGUUGUCCAUUUCCACAGUGUAAAUACUCACACACGCCAACUGUAAACUACUAAUGUGUUGGGGCGUCUGGGUGGCUCAGUUGGUUGAGCAUCUGAAUCUUGAUUUCAGCUCAGGUCAUGAUCUCGCUGUUGUGAGAAAGCUCCAUGCUGGCAGUGGAGCCAGCUUAAAAUUCUCUCUCCCUCUCAAAAAAAAAAAAAAAAAAGGGGCGCCUGGGUGGCGCAGUCGGUUAAGCGUCCGACUUCAGCCAGGUCACGAUCUUGCGGUCUGUGAGUUCGAGCCCCGCGUCAGGCUCUGGGCUGAUGGCUCAGAGCCUGGAGCCUGUUUCCGAUUCUGUGUCUCCCUCUCUCUCUGCCCCUCCCCCGUUCAUGCUCUGUCUCUCUCUGUCCCAAAAAUAAAUAAACGUUGAAAAAAAAAAAAAAUUAAAAAAAAAAAAAUCUCCCUCUUUCUCUCCCUCUGCCCCUCUCUCCUGCCCGCAUGCUCUCUCAAAUAAAAAUAAAAUAAAAUAAAAUAAACUACUAAUGCGAAGUCACUGAGAAUGGUUUUGGGAAGAGAUGCAUACAAUUGGUUCUCAGGAGUUGGUAUGAGCUGGCUGUAGCACACCCUUGACAUAGAAUGUUCAGGAAAAGCCUGCAUUUCAAGCAGAGGGAACAGUAAUUUUAAAAAAUCCUAAAGCAGAAACAACCUUAAUGCAGUCAUAAAACAGAAUGAGUAACAUGGCUGAAACAGAGAGAGGAAAGGAGAGAGCGACUGGAAAGAUAGGAUUUUAAAAUUUCUAUUUGGUCUUUUUUUAUGAUUCAUUCUCAUUUUCUCUCUCUGGGAUUUCUCUCUCUUUUAAUGUUCAUUUAUUUAUUUUUUAGAGAGAGAGCAAGAGCGAGUGCCUGAACAAGCUGGGGAGGGGCAGAGGGAGAGACAGAAACAGAAUGCGAAGCGGGCUCCAGGCUGUGAACUGUCAGCGCAGAGCCCUACUCAGGGCUCGAACUCAUGAACUGUGAGAUCAUGACCUGAGCCAAAAUCAGAUGCUUAACAGACAGAGCCACCCAGAUGCCCCUCUCCCUGGAUUUUUUUUGGUUUGUUUUUCCCUUAUUCCAUUUGUUCUCUUUCCUCUUUUGGAGUUUCCACAUUCUAUUUUUUUCAGUAAUUACUUUUGAAAUUUUACCACAUAUGUUACUUAAACUGUUAAGUGAGUUUAAUCAAUAAUCUGUCAUCCUCACAAACAACACACUUGAACACUUCAGUUUCAACUGUCCUCUGAUUCACAUAAUAUUACUGUUCUGUCCAAUAUUUCUAGUAGUUAAUUUUACUACACAAUAAGACACUAAAAAUAUUUCAGAGACAAAACACUGACUUGGGUCAAGGUCAAGGUCACUGUUUUUCUGGGAUCAUUUCCCUUUUACUUGAGGUCCCUUCUUUACAAUUCCUUUAGAGUUUCUCAAACUCAGCACCAUGAAAUUUCAAGGCCACAUAAGUAUUUGUUGUAGUACAUCAUACAGUUACAUCAUAGGACGUUUAAGAGCAUCCCUAGCUGCUAGUCACUAGAGGCCAGUAGCAUCUCCCGCAGUGACAACCAUGAAAGUCUUCAAAUAUUUCCAAAUGUCCCCUGGGGGACAAAAUUGUCCUCAGUUGUAAACCACUAGCUUGGAGCAAGUCUUGCGGUGAGAAACGUUCUUGGCUUUUAUUUAGCAACAGUUGCCUGUAUUUUGUCCUAAUUAUUACUGAGUAUCUUGCCAAGCACAAUUCUAGGAUAAUAAAAGCUUUGCAAACACUUUAAGACAUCAUUUGCUAUAUAUUUCGCUAUGGAGAAUUCUGUCAUUCUGCUGUUCCGGGGAGGAUCUGUACCUCUGGUGGAUCUCAAGAUCUUUUCUUAGGUGUUCUGCAGCAUCAUUAAAGAUGUGUCUAGGUGUAAUUUUCCUUUUGUUCUGUUCACAAACCCCUUUUACCUGUUUAUGACCCGUUAAUUUUAUUUUUUGUAUCAAUAACUAUUUUUUUUUUUUUCUACAAGUUCCAUUUGUUCUCCUCUCUAAACAGUCCUUCAUUUCUGGGUAAUAUGCUCAUCUAACUGCACCUUUUACUGAUGAAAACAUUUGAUAGUUUUGUAUCCCAGACUCAGAACCACUUUAUCCCUCUUAAGGGUUAUGUGACUAGGAAUCCCAGAUCCAACAUCCUACUUUCCUGCUGGUUCAAGAGUCUUACAAUACUGUUGCUAUAAAAAUCUGGCUUUAGAACAAUCCUGCCCCAUCCUGCUGCCUACUGGUCCAAGCCACAUCCUAAAAGCUCUGGCUCCCCUUGCUGCAGCCAUGGCACCUCUUUCAGGGCCUCUGUAUUCUCAAGUUUCAGGUGCAACCACCUUAACUUUUAGACACUCUGGUCGUGGAUGUUUCUGGUCCAACUUCCAUUUGCUUGUUUAUUUCGAGAUGGAAGAAAUAUCCCUGGAGACACUGCCUACAUUUACAAGACCAAUGAUGCCUCCAAGAUCAUAUCUUAUUAGGGUCUACCUGUGGUGGUGGUAGGAGUGGGAGGGUCCCGUAGAGAUCCUGGUCAAUCAUGAAAGAUCAAGGCCUUCCAGGCAAGGAACAAAGUUCUCAUCAGGAGUGGUUAACUGAAAGGCAUGGAUCAAUUCUCAAUCUCAGUUUCUUGGUGGGAAAUCAUGCUGUUUCAAAAGUACAGCCUUCAGAAGUCUGGGUCAUUACUGUAACCUCAGGAAAUCCCAAAUGGAAUGGAAAUUCUAGAGUUUCUGAAUAACAAGUAAGUUUUACUCUGCAGGAACUAAGAACCAAAUGCAUGUCCUAGGGCUGUUUUGUGAUUAUCCAGAAUCCUAAGAGGAUUCCUUUGAAGGAUACCUACUGACACUAUCAAUUAAACAGCCCAACAGAUCACUAUGUUUUGUUUUUCCCCAUUUUACUAUCCAGAUAAUGCUAACAUUAUUGGGAACUUACUGGUGUUUCACUGCACAAGUCAAACAGAAACUGAUAAGUGCCAUUGAUUCUACUACAAAUUUCAAAUUUCCAUUUUUUAUAGCAUACUUUUUUUGGUAAACAUAAAAUGGUAUAUCAAAUGUCUUGCUCUUAAUAAAACCUUUAUUCUUGUGGUGCAAUUACCUCCAUAUUGCUGCUUUUAUAAUUUGCCACUAUACUACAAUUGGGGGCUAAGAUAAAUAAAUCUCACAUUCUUCCCUUAGUCUCCUGAUCUCGUCAAAUGAUGUUUGCUGGUCUGAGCUAGGCAGAACAAGAGCAGUAAAUGUAUUUAAUUUCCUCUGGCACAGGCUUGGGUCUGAACUAUGCACUGUGUGAACAUGAAACGUUGUCUCAAAUGUUACAAAUUAUGUUUUUGAUUUUAUAGUUUGCUUCAAUCAGUAGCCAAAUAAGAGGCAUGCAGUAUGAUUGACUGCUGUAUCUCCUAAGUCAAGCGUCUACUCUCUUUUUCUUCACUAUUUACUUGUUGAAGAAACCAUGUCCGGUGUUCAGUAGGGUUUCUGAUUUUGAUGAUGACAUCCAUAAGAUGUUUAAAUGUUGUUCGGUUUUUGUAGUUCCUAUAAAUUGCUAAUUAGGUCUAGAGGCUUAACCACAUUCAGUAUUUUUAAGGAAGAGGUAGGAAAACUCCUUCACAGUGGUAUUUUGAUCUUCUGUCAGGAGGUUUUCUUUCUGAGAUACUAGCAACUGUUGGUGAUGAAUGCCUAGAUCCAUUAAUUUAUGAGGGCUUACAAAAUGGUGAUAUUCUUUUCUAUUAUUCUUCCUUAACUUACUAGCUGAAAUACUUUUAUAAAGAGAUAUUCCCUCUAAUAUACUGUUUGGUUACCCAUUAAUACAGUUAAAAGCAUGGCAAAUACUUCAUUCUUUCCCUUUAUUAACCAACUUCAUUCACCAGAAUACUCCAAUGGUGACUAAUUAGCUUUUUAAAGUCUCAAUAUGAACUCUUGAAUUUAAAUAUUGGAUAUAUUUCAAAUGAAAUUCUUUUUCUGCGUCAGUUAAGAUGAUUAAUCCUUUAAUCUCCUUUUGUUAAUACACUGAAUUAUAUAAAUUGAUCUUUAAUGGUAAACCAACAAUGUAUUUCUAGCAGAAACCCAAUCUGGUCAGGAGUAACUUAGAAAAAUAUAUUGCUUGAUUUAGAUUGCAAAUAUUUCAUUUAGGACAUCUGUAUCUGUAUUCAUAAGUAAAACUGGCCCAUACUUGUCUCACACUGGCAUUAAGUUUUGGAAUCAAAGUUAUGCAAUCCUCAAACUGAGUUGGGGAGUAUUUACUUGUUUUUCUAUUCCUUGGGAGAAACUGUAGAAGAGGAAUUACUGUUCCUUGGGUGUUUGGUAAAAAUUGUUGUAAAAAUGCCAGGGCCCACUGCUCAUUUGCUUACUUGCUUAUUAAAAUGUUUUAAAUUGAAAAUUACACACACAUAUACACAGCAAAAUUCAUUACAGCUUAAUUAUUUCUCACAACAGCAGUUUCACUCUUCCAUCCAUCUCCUCAGCCUAACCCUAAGUUUUGUAAGAGAUCUGAUGAGUCAGUGCCAACAACAGAUACAUUAAAAUGACUGACAGGAAGAAACUUAAAAGGUCUGAAAGAUACUAUUAUAAAUUCUACUCAGCAGGCAAAGCAAUUGUAGUUUUUAACGUACUAGGCCUAAUUAUCCUAAGCAAGAUUAUUUUUUUUAAGUUUUUAAGUAAUUUCUACAUAUAUGGUGGAGCUCAAACUGACGACCCUGAGAUCAAGAGUUACAUGCUCCACUGAGCCCUCCCGGUGCCCCUAACCAAGAUUUUUAUAGAGAGCUGGCAAGAUUUUAAUUCAAACUACCAAUGCCCUCUCUGAGGAACUAUAAGAUGGUUAGAAAAUAUAACCCAAAAAAAUCACCUUUCCAUCUUCUGCAAACUUCUUUAAAAAAAUUUUUUUAAUGUUUAUUUAUUUUUGAGAGAGAGAGACAGACACACAGAGUGUGAGUAGGGGAGGGUCAGAGAGAGAGGGAGACAUAGAAUCCAAAGCAGGCUCCAGGCUCUGGGCUGUCAGCACAGAGCCCGACGCAGGGCUCGAACCCACACACUGUGAGAUCGUGACCCAAGCCGAAGUCAGCUGCUUAACCGACUGAGCCACUCAGGCACCCCAACUUCUUCUUUUUUUAAAAUAAACCAGGCUUUGAGGGAUUUUGAGGCUGUAGCUUAAACAAAGAUACUCAAAGGGGCACCUGGCUGGCUCAAUCAGUAAAGCAUGUGACUCCUGAUCUGAGUCGUAAGUUCAAGCCUCACAUUAGGUGUAGAGCUUACGGAAAGGAAAGGAAAGGAAAAAGGAAAGGAAAAAGGAAAAAGGAAAAAGGAAAAAGGAAAAAGGAAAGGAAAGGAAAGGAAAAAAAGAAAACAAAGAAACUAACUCAGGAUGGGGCACACAAGAUGUAGUUAUUAAGAGCAUGAGAAGGAAGAACAUAAUCUCAUCUAAUGAACCUCAGAGGGAGAACCCAGGAUAGCAGGAUGAACUCACCUGAGAAUCUAGCCAAAAGACUCUGGACACAUUCCCAGGUUUGUUUAAAAGUGAAUGCAAAUGUAGGUUGCCAAACGAGAGUAAUGUCUGUAGUAGUCUCUUAGCAGAUAUUAGGGUUUUCAGCUAAUAAUACUAAGAGAAGUCUUUUUCACAAUCAUAUACUAUUUCUUUUUGCCCACAAUUUGUUUACUAUCUUUUACUUAGAGUGCUUCAUUGGAAACAAAAUCCAGCUUGCACUGGAAUGAUACCAACUCCCCUGACUGUCCACUUCAUUAGCUAAGUCCUUCCCUACCUCUAUUACAUACAUGUUCCUGGCCAGAAGAUAAACUACCCUCAAACUCCUCUACCUGUCGGCAUGUAUCAGAGACAGAAGAAUUGUUUUAAUAGUUUAGGGGGAAAAUUUACUUUUCAUGGUCUGCUUAAAUAUUUCAAUGAAAUCUUAACCAUUCCUGAUCCAAAUAUGAAAUUUUUGUACAGAGAAGAAUAAUUUUGAACAGUCUAAAUAAACUAUCCAAUAUAAAAGUCUAAAAAAAAAGAGAAUAGUGACAACCCCAAUAUCACAAGGCUAGGACCCUUGUGAUCAGAUUUCUAGCUAUAUGUUUAUGCCAAACCAUUUACCUAAAAAAUAUUUAUGGAGUGCUUAGGGUGUCAGUUACUCUUCCCGCACAUAAACUCUCUCAAACAAAUGAGAAUUAUCACCAGAAACUUAGGUUCUUAACAGAGGAAGAUCAGAAAAGGAGUAUCCCAGUUUCUUCAAUACUCUGAACCUGUAAUGAGCAAACAAGUCAAGUACUUUCCUUACUGUCAACUUUUUGAUAGCUUAUAUUUUACAUAGCUGCUCUGCACUACUCAAAGAGCUAAAAGUUCAGCAAUGUAAAAAUCAAAAUAAGCCUCAAAUCAAACCUCAUGCACUGUUAGUGGGAAUGUAAAUUGGAGCAACCACUGAGUAAAACAGUAUAGAGGUUCCUCAAUAUAUUAAAGAUAGAAUUACCAUAUGAUCAAACAAUUCUAUUACUGGGUAUUUACCCAAGGAAAAUGAAUUUGAAAAGAUAUACUCACCCCUGUGUUUACUGCAACAUUAUUUAUAAAAAUUUUUUAAUGUUUUUAUUUAUUUUUGAGACAGAGAGAGACAGAGCAUGAGCAGGGGAGGGGCAGAGAGAGAGGGAGACACAGAAUCUGAAGUAGGCUCCAGGCUCGGAGCUGUCAGCACAGAGCCCGACGUGGGGCUCGAACUCACGGACUGUGAGAUCAUGAUCUGAGCUGAAGUCGGACGCUUAACUGACUGAGCCACCCAGGUGCCCCCAUUGCAACAUUAUUUAUAACAGCCAAACUACAGAAGCAACCCAAGUUUCUACUGAUAAGUGAAUGGAUGAGGAUAUGCUAUACAUAUAUAAUGGAAUAGUCAGCCAUAAAAAAGAAUGAGAUCUUGCCAUGUGCAACAACAUGGGUGGACCUACAGGAUGUUAGGCUAAGGCUAAGUAAAAUCAGGCAAAGAAAAACAAAUACCACAUGAUUUCACUUACAAGUUGUAUAUAAAAAGAAAACAAACAAACAAAAGACCUUUAAAAACAAAGAACAAAUGUUGACACAGAGGAGGUGGGUGGGGGGAUGGGUGAGAUAAAGGGGAUUAAUAGCAUAAAGUAUACAGAAGCAGUAUCACUAUGUUGUACAGCUGAAACUAAUGUAACAUUGCAUAUCAACUAUAUUCAAAUUUAAAAAAGAUUUAAAAUUCUUUUGACAUUUAAAAAGAUUUAUUUAUUUUGAGAGAGAAUGCAAAUGCGAGGCAGGAGGCGGGGCAGAGAGAAAAGGGGACAGAGAAUCCAAAAUGGAUUCUGUGCUAAAAGCAGACAGCCCGACAGAAGGCUUGAACUCACGAACCGUGAGAUCAUGGCCUGACCUGAAGUUGGACACUUAACUGACUGAGCCACCCAGGUGCCUCUAAAUUCAAUAGGAAAAAAAAAAAAAGAGACUGAUACAAACUUCCAGUUAUAAAACAAGUAAGUCAUGGAUAUCAGUAGUAUAGCAUAGGAAAUAUAGUCAAUAAUACUGUAAUAACGUUGUAUGGUGACAGAUGGUGACUACAUUUAUGGUGGCAAGUACUGAGCAAUGUAUAGCAUUGUCCAACCAAUACGGUAUAUGACUGAAAUUAAUGUAACACUGUAUGUUAAUUAUACUUCAAUAAAAACAAAACAAAAAACAAACAAAAAUUCUAACAACAAAAAGUAAGCCUCAAAUCAAAAGACACACACAUAUACAAAAUGGCUGUCAGUGUAUUUAAAAAGCACUUAACCUCAUUCAUAAUUAAAGAAGUACAAAUAAAAACUAGACAUGCCAUCUUCAUCUAGGGAAAAAAAAAAUUUUUUAAGAUUGGUUAUCUACUUUUUAUGAUAGGGAGCCCAAGUAUGCUUCCACACUCCUAAUUGGUAGAAGUCUAAGUUGAUGUAUCCUUUUGAAGACAGGUAUUCCUUUUGAUCAAAGAAUUCUACUGUUAGGAAUUUUUCUUUCAAAUAUACUGGCAAUGAGAUUGCAAGAGUAUAUGUACAAGAUGUUCACUGUAACAUAAUUUUUAACAAUAAAACACCUGGGAAUAAAUGGUCCAGAAUAGGGAACUGGCUGUGUAAAAUUAAAAUACAGGAAUACAAUGGAAUACUAUUCUAAAACAGAGGAAUAAGGCAAAUCUUUAUGUACUGAAAUGUCACAAGGUAAAAUGUUAAGUCAAAGAAAGGAAGUCAUAGUCUGUAGAGUAUAAUUCCAUGGAGAAAAAAGGAAAAAAGAUAGUCAUAGAUGGUUAGAAAAUGUGUAAUUAAAAAUUUCUAGAGAAUUUCCAAGAAUAAGUACCUCAGGGGAUAGAGGUAAGGUGUGAGGAGAAGAGAUAAUUUAGAGGACUCUACUUUCUGUACAUAUACUCUUUAUUGUCUGAAUCCUCACCAGAGUAUGUUUCCUUUCUUUAUUUUAAUUUUUUAUCAGUCUUGUGAUGCUGUGAAAUACCUAUUAAAUUACAAGCUUACUGAAAUUUAAAUAUGUGAUAACUAGAAGAAAUAAAUUUAUUUCCAAAACUUAUUUAAUAGAUAAAGAACUGGAACAUCAACUUCUACAGCUUAAGGUCAUGCUGUUUAUGAAGUACUUUCAGCAAUUAAAAUGAGGGCGAUUAAAGACCAAGAAAAAUAAUAAAAAGGGCAAAGUAGCUGCAAAGCCCAAGCUUAUAGAAUAUUAUAGUUAUCUUCUUGACAAAAUUAUCUUGGAAAAAAGAUCUAAUUUUUACAGACUAAAAAAAAAUUUUUUGUUUUUAAUGUUUGUUUAUUUUUGAGAGAAAGAGACAGAGUGUGAGUGGAGGAGGGUAGAGAGAGAAGGAGACACAGAAUCCGAAGCAGGCUCCAGGCUCUGAUCUGUCAGCACAGAGCCUGAUGUGGGGCUUGAACUCACAAACUGUGAGAUCAUGACCUGAGACGAAGUCAGACGCUUAACUGACUGAGCCACCCAGGUGCCCCUACAGAUUUUUUUUUUUUUUAACACAGAACCAUGUAAAUUAUUUUUAUAUGUGACUACAUUGAGGCUCAACAAUCAAUUGUACAAGUAGUUUCCUAAAACUUAUCAAGUUAGGACCAGAAAUACCAGGAAAAAAUGUUGAGAAGUGAAAAGCAGAAGAGGGGAUAGAAAAUAGAAUUAGAAGUGGGAGUAAUGUCUGUUAGUAUAAGCAGGAAAAGGGUGACUGUAGAGAAAGUCAAUCCCAUAGUAAUACUAUACCUAACAGCUGGCUGUGUUCCCCUGUGAUGGAGUUCUGACUCGGGUCUGAAAAACAAACAAUUGAAAAGAAAGAAAAAAAUGAAUGACCAAAACAAAUAAUUUCUUAAAAAUCAGCAACAAAAGUCAACCAAGGAAAUAAGCAAAAAAAAAACCCCAAAAACCAAAAACCAAAAGUUUUUUAGUGAUCAAAAUACAUUAAUGAAUGGAUAAUAAAAACAGAAUAAACUAUUUUAAAAAAUAAUCACACAGCUUCUUUGAAAAGUUAACUAACAGAAUUACCAUGAGACCCAGCAAUUCCACUCUUAGGCAUAUACUCAAAAGAACUUAAAACAGGGACUCAAACAGAUAUUUAUAUGACAAUGUGUAUAGGAGCAUUGUUUACAUUAGUCAAAGUGGAAACAACCCAGUGUCCUUCAACAGAUAAAUGGAUAAACAAAAAUGUGGUAUAUCAUACAAUGGGAUAUUAUUCAGCCAUAAAGAGGAAACGAAAUUCGGAUACGUGCUACAACAUGGACAAACCUUGAAAAUAUGCUAAGGGAAAUGAACUAAAAGCAGAAGGACAAAUAUUGUAUAAUUCCAUUUAAAAAGAAAUAACCAGAAAAAAGUAAACUAACAAAACAAUCACAUAAAUUUGACCAAGCAAAAAUAGUUCCGUAAAGUAGAAGGAUGAUUCGGGGCUUACGACAUGGGCUACAUUUUCUCUUUAAUGACAAAGGAACAUAAUGGCCAUAGCAGCUCAAAGUCAAGACAUAAGUAAAGCACUCAUUACUAGAUAUGUCCUGAUUCGACUUCAUGAUAAAAUAACUAAACAGGCUUUUAGAAAUAUGUUUCUUCAGUAAUCUAUAAUAAAACUAGUGGCAAUAAGCCAAGUUCCUAAUGCAAGAGGUAUUGACAAUCACCAUUUAACAACUAACCACUUGCUUAUUUUAAAGGCUUGAAAAGCAUUAAGGGCUAAAUAUGGAAGACUUUGAGCUCCAGUUUCCUCAAAGAUUAAGUGUCUUGAGAUAUGAGGAUUAUAUCUGGCUUCCCUGUGUCUGGGAAACAGAAAUAAUUUUAGAUGAGGGUGUCUGUGAAUUAUGGGGGGAAAGUUAGUAUUUUCUCCAAGUAUGAUGCCAGCAACAAACUACAUAAAAGUACCUGUGAUUUUUGUUAACGAUAAAUAUCUGGUAUUUUCAUAUCACAUUAUAAUUGUUGCAUGUAUCUCAUAAUAUGAUUUAGGUGCAAUACUACUUUGAAAUUAUGGUAGUUAUUAAAUGGCUUCUAGAUCUUUUUCAAUGCAUUGAUAAAAAAGCAC
rnacentral:lncRNA from 1 species